UCAAACUUGGUCAUUUAGAGGAAGUAAAAGUCGUAACAAGGUCUCCGUUGGUGAACCAGCGGAGGGAUCAUUACCGAGUUUUAGACUCCCAAACCCACUGUGAACAUACCUACGUUGCUUCGGCGGGAAGCCCCGGCGCCCCCGCGGCCCGGACCCAGGCGCCCGCCGGAGGCCCGAACCUCUGGUUUUGACCGUCUUCUGAGUGGCGAAAGCAAAACAAUGAAUCAAAACUUUCAACAACGGAUCUCUUGGUUCUGGCAUCGAUGAAGAACGCAGC
rnacentral:misc_RNA from 1 species